rnacentral:piRNA from 1 species
GAGGAGACAAUUUCUCAGAGUUAGGUGAU